AGCGGAGGAAAAGAAACUAACAAGGAUUCCCCUAGUAACGGCGAGUGAAGCGGGAAGAGCUCAAAUUUGUAAUCUGGCGGCCUUUGGCCGUCCGAGUUGUAGUCUCGAGAAGCGUCUUCUGCGUCGGACCGUGUACAAGUCCCUUGGAACAGGGCGUCGUAGAGGGUGAGAAUCCCGUCUUUGACACGGACUGCCGGUGCUCUGUGAUGCGCUCUCAAAGAGUCGAGUUGUUUGGGAAUGCAGCUCAAAACGGGUGGUAAAUUCCAUCUAAAGCUAAAUAUUGGCGAAAGACCGAUAGCGAACAAGUACCGUGAGGGAAAGAUGAAAAGCACUUUGGAAAGAGAGUUAAACAGUACGUGAAAUUGCUGAAAGGGAAACGCUUGAAGUCAGUCGCGUCUCCCGGGAUUCAGCCGUGCCCCUGUCGGGGCGCGGUGUACUUCCUGGCUGUGACGGGCCAGCAUCGAUUUUGGCCGUCGGAGAAAGGCCUUGGGAAUGUGGCACCUUCGGGUGUGUUAUAGCCCUGGGUCGCAUGCGACGGUCGGGAUCGAGGACCGCAGCACGUUUCUCCUUCCUUCGCGGGAAAGGGGCUCGGGGUUCGCCCACGCAAACGUUGCUUAGGAUGCUUGGCGUAA
rnacentral:rRNA from 1 species